rnacentral:rRNA from 1 species
GACAGAGGGUGCAAACGUUGUUCGGAAUUACUGGGCGUAAAGCGCGUGUAGGCGGCCCUGCAAGUCGGGUGUGAAAUCCCACGGCUCAACCGUGGAAGUGCAUUCGAAACUGCAGGGCUAGAGUCCUGGAGAGGAAGGUGGAAUUCCUGGUGUAGCGGUGAAAUGCGCAGAUAUCAGGAAGAACACCCGUGGCGAAAGCGGCUCUCUGGAACGGUACUGACGCUGAGACGCGAAAGCGUGGGGAGCGAACAGG